GAAGUGGUUGGAAUAACUGGUUUGAUUUUGACUAAACUUGAUGGUUCUGCUAGAGGUGGCUGUGUGGUCAGUGUUGUAGAUGAGCUUGGCAUCCCUGUAAAGUUUGUAGGUGUUGGAGAAGGUGUUGAAGAUCUGCAACCCUUUGACGCUGAGGCCUUUGUUAAUGCUGUAUUUUCAUGAGGUCUUAAAUGUGGCAAUAUACAUGACAAUGAAUCAGUCUUGCUAGCUGCUGAAAGUUCUCGGCUAAACGAUCAGACAUGACAAUGAGAUGUGGAAGCUUAAAGACAUUUUCACGAGGCAGACAACUGAGGUUGCGGAUCCCUUAAUUGGUUUCGGUUGCAUGUAUGAUGCUGUUGUUUAGAUCCCAUAUGCUAUUCUUCCAUUUUCACCAGACAGAUUAGAC
rnacentral:misc_RNA from 1 species